CCUACGGGAGGCAGCAGUAGGGAAUCUUCCACAAUGGGCGAAAGCCUGAUGGAGCAACGCCGCGUGGGUGAAGAAGGUCUUCGGAUCGUAAAACCCUGUUGUUAGAGAAGAAAGUGCGUGAGAGUAACUGUUCACGUUUCGACGGUAUCUAACCAGAAAGCCACGGCUAACUACGUGCCAGCAGCCGCGGUAAUACGUAGGUGGCAAGCGUUAUCCGGAUUUAUUGGGCGUAAAGGGAACGCAGGCGGUCUUUUAAGUCUGAUGUGAAAGCCUUCGGCUUAACCGGAGUAGUGCAUUGGAAACUGGGAAACUUGAGUGAAGAAGAGGGGAGUGGAACUCCAUGUGUAGCGGUGAAAUGCGUAGAUAUAUGGAAGAACACCAGUGGCGAAAGCGGCUCUCUGGUCUGUAACUGACGCUGAGGUUCGAAAGCGUGGGUAGCAAACAGGAUUAGAUACCCGGGUAGUC
rnacentral:rRNA from 1 species